rnacentral:rRNA from 1 species
UACAGAGGUCCCAAGCGUUUGUUCGGAUUCAUUGGGCGUAAAGGGUGCGUAGGCGGCGCGCUAAGUCGGGUGUGAAAUUUCGGAGCUUAACUCCGAAACUGCAUUCGAUACUGGCGUGCUUGAGGACUGGAGAGGAGACUGGAAUUCAUGGUGUAGCAGUGAAAUGCGUAGAGAUCAUGAGGAAGACCAGUGGCGAAGGCGGGUCUCUGGACAGUUCCUGACACUGAGACACGAAGGCUAGGGGAGCAAACGGG